AAAGAUUUUAUAAUAAAGAAGCUGCUAACUAUCUUUAAAAGCAUAUAUUAAUGUUUAAUCUUUA
rnacentral:tRNA from 1 species